AUUUGGAAACUCGGUGAUGUUUUCUCAUGAAUAUACGUUUAAAAUAAAUAAACACUAAAAGUGCACGCUGACAGUUGAUUACGAUACAUUUAAAGAUUUAAGUCAAUACAGUUAAACAUGGAUUAUAAGUGAAUUAUUCCCGUAAGAGGAGAUAUUCUGUCGAAAAAACGAAAUGUCAACAAACAUAGCAUGGGUAGCCACAAUAAUGCGCGUAUAUGGAACGUUUUUAACAUUUGGAUAUUUAUUGUGUUCCCUAGAGUCGCCAACAAAAAAAUCGUCAAAGACUCUGAAGCGGCUGUUUAUAUGGAUAAGGAACUGGGAUAUUCAGAUAUUCUUAUCAAAGGGCUAUGAAUGCAGGAAAAAUGACUGAAUAUUACUAAGUCAACAACACUGGGUUAUGAAGAAUUCCAGCCUGCAAUAGAUACUAUGUCGGAUCCUUGAGAGCGGAUUUUACAGCAAUGUUUAUCCACAAGGCAGUUGCAUCUGAUAGAGAUGAUCACUAAACAUUCUAGAUGGGUUAAGUACCUGAAGUGGCAUGAAACCAAAUCAGCAUUGACUCAGCAUUGAGUAGUUAUCAUCUGUGCACACACUUCAAGUACAAACGCAUGGGAACAGACCAAACUUCAAACGUUGGAGAGUAAAGACUUAUUGUGAAAAAAUCUAAUUGUUAGAAUACCAAUGACAAAAUAAAACAGAUACUACGACAUCAAAAUACCCACAGAGAGUGUUUACAUGUUAUCAAAUUAAAAUACCGGUAACAUUAGUUGAGAACUUUCCCUCUGACAAUUUGGAGGGGCAUUUCCGCCUGCUUAGUAUUCUCGUUUCUUCACAUAUUUUAGCUUAAAAGUACACUCAUUCCUUUGAACAUUGAGUUAGGAUCAUAAGUAAAAUUAAUUUGUUUGAAAAAGUACAUUUUAUGAAUAAGUCCAAUUAAGCUUUUUUUAAAUUUUUACAAUAAAAAGUUUGAUUUUUAAGCAUUUUAUUAGCUAUAAAAAUGUAUGGUCACAUGACAUUAUGUAUAUUUUCUUCAAAACGGGAUGGUAAACUAUCACAAAUUGUCUUUAAAAUUGUUCAAUAGACAUCAUAGAUAAUACUUAAAAUGAUUUCGGCAGCUUGCCUUAUAUUUAACUAUUUUUUAUGAAUUUUAUAAAACUGCUAUAUAUUUUCAAACAUCGAAAGACUGCUCUUUUCCGAAGAAUCAUAAGAUCAAUCAAAAUGAUUUUUUUCAAAGUAUAUCAAUAAUGUGUUCGUUUGAACAUAAAUUUUCUGUUUACGGAAGUUCAUUUUACCAGAAACUGUUGUGUUUAUUUCAUAA